GGCCCUCUGGCGCAGUGGCAGCGCUUUUCCCUCCUAAGGAAAGGGUCGUGGGUUCAAUCCCCACGAGGGUCU